UACGUAGGGGGCAAGCGUUAUCCAGAUUUACUGGGCGUAAAGCGCGUGUAGGCGGCUGGUUAGGCGUGAUGUGAAAUCUUCCGGCUCAACCGGAAAACUGCAUUGCGAACCGGCCUGGCUAGAGUGCAGGAGAGGGAAGCGGAAUUCCAGGUGUAGCGGUGAAAUGCGUAGAUAUCUGGAGGAACACCAGUGGUGAAGGCGGCUUCCUGGCCUGCAACUGACGCUGAGACGCGAAAGCGUGGGGAGCGAACCGG
rnacentral:rRNA from 1 species